GAUGAACGCUGGCGGCGUGCCUAAUACAUGCAAGUCGAGCGAACAGACGAGGAGCUUGCUCCUCUGACGUUAGCGGCGGACGGGUGAGUAACACGUGGAUAACCUACCUAUAAGACUGGGAUAACUUCGGGAAACCGGAGCUAAUACCGGAUAACAUGUUGAACCGCAUGGUUCAACAGUGAAAGACGGUCUUGCUGUCACUUAUAGAUGGAUCCGCGCCGCAUUAGCUAGUUGGUAAGGUAUCGGCUUACCAAGGCAACGAUGCGUAGCCGACCUGAGAGGGUGAUCGGCCACACUGGAACUGAGACACGGUCCAGACUCCUACGGGAGGCAGCAGUAGGGAAUCUUCCGCAAUGGGCGAAAGCCUGACGGAGCAACGCCGCGUGAGUGAAGAAGGUCUUCGGAUCGUAAAACUCUGUUAUUAGGGAAGAACAAAUGUGUAAGUAACUAUGCACGUCUUGACGGUACCUAAUCAGAAAGCCACGGCUAACUACGUG
rnacentral:rRNA from 1 species